CCUACGGGUGGCAGCAGUGGGGAAUAUUGGGCAAUGGAGGCAACUCUUACCCAGCAAUGCCGCGUGAAUGAAGAAGGUCUUCGGACUGUAAAGUUCUUUAAUUGGGGACGAAAAAAAUGACGGUAUCCAAGGAAUAAGCCACGGCUAACAUCGUGCUAGCAGCCGCGGUAAUACGCAGGGGGCAAGCGUCGUGCGGAGUAACUGGGCGUAAAGGGUGUGUAGGCGGUGUAGCAAGUUAGAAGUGAAAUACCUAGGGCUUAAGGCAGGUACUGCUACUAAAACUGCUAUACUUGAGUGCGGUAGAGGAAAGUGGAAUUCGUGGUGUAGCGGUGGAAUGCGUAGAUAUUAGGAGGAACAUCAGUUGCGAAGGCGACUUUCGGGACUGUAACUGACGCUGAUGCACGAAAGUGUGGGGAGCAAACAGGAUUAGAUACCCCUGUAGUC
rnacentral:rRNA from 1 species